AUUGAACGCUGGCGGCAGGCCUAACACAUGCAAGUCGAGCGGAUGAAGGGAGCUUGCUCCUGGAUUCAGCGGCGGACGGGUGAGUAAUGCCUAGGAAUCUGCCUGGUAGUGGGGGAUAACGUCCGGAAACGGGCGCUAAUACCGCAUACGUCCUGAGGGAGAAAGUGGGGGAUCUUCGGACCUCACGCUAUCAGAUGAGCCUAGGUCGGAUUAGCUAGUUGGUGGGGUAAAGGCCUACCAAGGCGACGAUCCGUAACUGGUCUGAGAGGAUGAUCAGUCACACUGGAACUGAGACACGGUCCAGACUCCUACGGGAGGGAGCAGUGGGGAAUAUUGGACAAUGGGCGAAAGCCUGAUCCAGCCAUGCCGCGUGUGUGAAGAAGGUCUUCGGAUUGUAAAGCACUUUAAGUUGGGAUGAAGGGCAGUAAGUUAAUACCUUGCUGUUUUGACGUUACCAACAGAAUAAGCACCGGCUAACUUCGUG
rnacentral:rRNA from 1 species